GAUGAACGCUGGCGGCGUGCUUAACACAUGCAAGUCGAACGAUGAAGCCCAGCUUGCUGGGUGGAUUAGUGGCGAACGGGUGAGUAACACGUGAGUAACCUGCCCUUGACUCUGGGAUAAGCCCGGGAAACUGGGUCUAAUACCGGAUAGGAGCGCCUGUCGCAUGACGGGUGUUGGAAAGAUUUUUCGGUCAUGGAUGGACUCGCGGCCUAUCAGCUUGUUGGUGAGGUAAUGGCUCACCAAGGCGACGACGGGUAGCCGGCCUGAGAGGGUGACCGGCCACACUGGGACUGAGACACGGCCCAGACUCCUACGGGAGGCAGCAGUGGGGAAUAUUGCACAAUGGGCGGAAGCCUGAUGCAGCGACGCCGCGUGAGGGAUGACGGCCUUCGGGUUGUAAACCUCUUUUCAGUAGG
rnacentral:rRNA from 1 species